rnacentral:misc_RNA from 1 species
GUAGGUGAACCUGCGGAGGGAUCAUUAAAGAGUUAGGGUCCUCGUGGCCCGAACCUCCCAACCCCGUGAAUACAUACCUCUGUUGCUUUGGCAGGCCGUGGACGCAAGUCCCCGCUGGCUGCGGCUGCUCACGCAGUCCACGACCGGCGUGCGUCUGUCAGACGCCUCAACAUAAACCUUAUCAAAUAGUGACGUCUGAGAAACAUAAAAAUAGCUAAAAACUUUCAACAACGGAUCUCUUGGUUCCA